AGUGGCUGAGGUGUCCAGGAUACUCUGUCCACUGGGGCAGGGGGUGGCUUCUAAGCCCAGUACCCUUCCCAGAGUCCCCCACCCAGCCUCCAGCCCCCAGCCCCCAGCCCCCAGCCCCCAGCACCCAUGACCCACCACCCUGCCCCCUACCCGUGGCUCUGGCCCAUUCUCCUGCUGUCAGCAGUGCCUGCUUGAACAGAGGGCCACACUGAACAGAUGCAUGCUGCAAGCGGAGACCGAGAAGCGGGCAGCGGCUACCAAGGUGGCCUGAGGGCAGAGGCGGAGGGAGGAAGGGAAAGAGGAAGGGAGGGAGGG
rnacentral:lncRNA from 1 species